rnacentral:rRNA from 1 species
UACGGAGGGUGCGAGCGUUGUCCGGAAUCAUUGGGCGUAAAGGGCGCGUAGGUGGCCCGGUCAGUCCGUGGUGAAAGCGCGGGGCUCAACCCCGCGUCGGCCAUGGAUACUGCUGGGCUUGAGCACUGUAGAGGCAGGCGGAAUUCCGGGUGUAGCGGUGGAAUGCGUAGAGAUCCGGAAGAACACCGGUGGCGAAGGCGGCCUGCUGGGCAGUGGCUGACACUGAGGCGCGACAGCGUGGGGAGCAAACAGGG